GAGGAAAAGAAACCAACAGGGAUUGCCCCAGUAACGGCGAGUGAAGCGGCAAGAGCUCAAAUUUGAAAGCUGGCUCCUUCGGGGUCCGCAUUGUAAUUUGUAGAGGAUGCUUCGGGAGCGGUCCCCAUCUAAGUGCCCUGGAACGGGACGUCAUAGAGGGUGAGAAUCCCGUAUGGGAUGGGGUGUCCGCGCCCGUGUGAAGCUCCUUCGACGAGUCGAGUUGUUUGGGAAUGCAGCUCUAAAUGGGUGGUAAAUUUCAUCUAAAGCUAAAUAUUGGCCGGAGACCGAUAGCGCACAAGUAGAGUGAUCGAAAGAUGAAAAGCACUUUGAAAAGAGAGUUAAAAAGCACGUGAAAUUGUUGAAAGGGAAGCGCUUGCGACCAGACUCGCUCGCGGGGUUCAGCCGGCAUUCGUGCCGGUGUACUUCCCCGCGGGCGGGCCAGCGUCGGUUUGGGCGGUCGGUCAAAGGCCCUCGGAAGGUAACGCCCCUAGGGGCGUCUUAUAGCCGAGGGUGCAAUGCGACCUGCCUAGACCGAGGAAC
rnacentral:rRNA from 1 species